AUUGAACGCUGGCGGCAUGCUUUACACAUGCAAGUCGAACGGUAACAGGGUGCUUGCACCGCUGACGAGUGGCGAACGGGUGAGUAAUGCGUCGGAACGUGCCGAGUAGUGGGGGAUAACGCAGCGAAAGUUGUGCUAAUACCGCAUACGUACUGAGGUAGAAAGUGGGGGACCUUCGGGCCUCACGCUAUUCGAGCGGCCGACGUCUGAUUAGCUAGUAGGUGAGGUAAAGGCUCACCUAGGCGACGAUCAGUAGCGGGUCUGAGAGGAUGAUCCGCCACACUGGGACGGAGACACGGCCCAGACUCCUACGGGAGGCAGCAGUGGGGAAUUUUGGACAAUGGGCGAAAGCCUGAUCCAGCCAUGCCGCGUGUCUGAAGAAGGCCUUCGGGUUGUAAAGGACUUUUGUCAGGGAGGAAAUCCCUAGUGCUAAUAACACUGGGGGAUGACAGUACCUGAAGAAUAAGCACCAGCUAACUACGUGCCAGCCGCCGCGGUAA
rnacentral:rRNA from 1 species